GUGGGGAAUUUUGGACAAUGGGCGCAAGCCUGAUCCAGCAAUGCCGCGUGCAGGAAGAAGGCCUUCGGGUUGUAAACUGCUUUUGUACGGAACGAAACGGUCCUGGAUAAUACCUGGGGCUAAUGACGGUACCGUAAGAAUAAGCACCGGCUAACUACGUGCCAGCAGCCGCGGUAAUACGUAGGGUGCGAGCGUUAAUCGGAAUUACUGGGCGUAAAGCGUGAGCAGGCGGUGCUGUAAGACAGGCGUGAAAUCCCCGGGCUCAACCUGGGAAUUGCGCUUGUGACUGCAGUGCUGGAGUACGGCAGAGGGGGAUGGAAUUCCGCGUGUAGCAGUGAAAUGCGUAGAUAUGCGGAGGAACACCGAUGGCGAAGGCAGUCCCCUGGGCCUGUACUGACGCUCAUGCACGAAAGCGUGGGGAGCAAACAGGAUUAGAUACCCGAGUAGUCC
rnacentral:rRNA from 1 species